rnacentral:rRNA from 1 species
CUCCUACUGGAGGCAGCAGUGAGGAAUAUUGGUCAAUGGACGAGAGUCUGAACCAGCCAAGUAGCGUGAAGGAUGAAGGUUCUAUGGAUUGUAAACUUCUUUUAUACGGGAAUAAACGAAUCCACGUGUGGAUUUUUGCAUGUACCGUAUGAAUAAGGAUCGGCUAACUCCGUGCCAGCAGCCGCGGUAAUACGGAGGAUCCGAGCGUUAUCCGGAUUUAUUGGGUUUAAAGGGAGCGUAGAUGGGUUGUUAAGUCAGUUGUGAAAGUUUGCGGCUCAACCGUAAAAUUGCAAUUGAUACUGGCAGUCUUGAGUACAGUUGAGGUAGGCGGAAUUCGUGGUGUAGCGGUGAAAUGCUUAGAUAUCACGAAGAACUCCGAUUGCGAAGGCAGCUUACUAACCUGUAACUGACAUUGAUGCUCGAAAGUGUGGGUAUCAAACAGGAUUAGAUACCCUGGUAGUCCACACGGUAAACGAUGAAUACUCGCUGUAGGCGAUAUACAGUCUGCGGCCAAGCGAAAGCAUUAAGUAUUCCACCUGGGGAGUACGCCGGCAACGGUGAAACUCAAAGGAAUUGACGGGGGCCCGCACAAGCGGAGGAACAUGUGGUUUAAUUCGAUGAUACGCGAGGAACCUUACCCGGGCUUAAAUUGCAACCGAAUAUGGCGGAAACGCUAUAGCUAGCAAUAGCGGUUGUGAAGGUGCUGCAUGGUUGUCGUCAGCUCGUGCCGUGAGGUGUCGGCUUAAGUGCCAUAACGAGCGCAACCCUUGCCGAUAGUUACUAACAGGUCAUGCUGAGGACUCUGUCGGGACUGCCAUCGUAAGAUGUGAGGAAGGUGGGGAUGACGUCAAAUCAGCACGGCCCUUACGUCCGGGGCUACACACGUGUUACAAUGGGGGGUACAGAGGGCUGCUACCACGCAAGUGGAUGCCAAUCCCAAAAACCUCUCUCAGUUCGGAUUGAAGUCUGCAACCCGACCUCAUGAAGCUGGAUUCGCUAGUAAUCGCGCAUCAGCCACGGCGCGGUGAAUACGUUCCCGGGCCUUGUACACACCGA